rnacentral:rRNA from 1 species
AACGAACGCUGGCGGCGCGCUUAACACAUGCAAGUCGAACGAGAAGGCGUAGCAAUACGCUUGUAAAGUGGCGAACGGGUGAGGAAUACAUGGGUAACCUACCCUCGAGUGGGGGAUAACCCGCCGAAAGGCGGGCUAAUACCGCGUACGCUUCCGAUCUUGCGGGAUCGGAAGGAAAGCUGUCCCUUGGGGAUGGCGCUCAAGGAUGGGCUCAUGUCCUAUCAGCUUGUU